rnacentral:lncRNA from 13 species
CCUGUGGUUUGGUUGAUUUGUACUCUUCCCCGUUCAUUGUCUUUUUACUGUGCGGAGUCAGAGGACGAACUGCACACACUCGUCAAGAGAACAUGGUUAGAACACAACAACCUUUUGGUUGAAGGCAUCUCUAUACUCUGGUUUCCAGUUGCUUUUUUGGUUCUUCGUCUGGAUGCUGUCUGGAUAGGGUUUCAUAUAUAUAUUGAAGGAUCAGAAGGUAAGCCAUGUUCUACCCUGCAGCCCUGUGUGAGUGCCUCAGAGGCAUCCUCCUUGUCCUCGUCCCUGUCCCCAGCCUCCGUCGCUAAGGACGUCUUCUUCAACAUCGCCACUGAGGAAAAGGUAGAAGGGCUUUCUUCUUCUAUUCUCUGUCUUGCUUUCACACUCAGUGCAUCCACAUCUGAACGUGUCAAAACAACAAGCCCUAACUCCUCUCUCUCUCCCUCCACACUCUUUCCUCCCCCUCUCGCUCCCUCCCCCUCUCCUUCCCUCCCUCCCUCCCCCUCCCCCUCUCUCCCCUCUCCUUCCCUCCCUCGCCCUCUCCCUUUCCCCCAUCUCCCGCCCUCCCUCCCCCAGGAUGAUGAAAGUGACUAUGAGAACCCAAGCCUGGAUGAGGAUGUAGACAGCAGUGUGGAGGAUCUGCUGGGUUUAAGCUGUUCCUUCAUAGACUCAAACUAUUACAAAGACCAUCAAGGGGUACACUCCGUAUCGGCUGCCCCAGAAACCAGCCCUUCUACCCUGGGCUUUCCCGGUAGAUAUAGCGACAGUCCCCAGCACAGCUCCCAGCUCCAUCCCAAUCCACAUCCCUAUCCACAUCCCUAUCCAUAUCCCUAUCAAGAGACUGAAAACAAAUCCAUACCCCAUCACACUAUUGUGGUCACCCAGUUCAACCCUAACCUGUUGCAGUCAGGCAGUGCCAUGGACGGCUAUAACAGUGAGUCGGUGGACCCUGUGGACCCUGUGGGUGUGGUGAGCACUAUGGUGAAUCUGAAUGGACCAGGAGGACAAGGAGACAUGAUGGAUUCUGACAGAGAGAGCUUCCCUAUCCUGAUCAGGUCCAUGUCUACAUCACGCAGACACAGCUUGGGCAUGCCCAUGUCUCCCAUCGACUUGGGGAGGAGGUAAGGCCCUCUCUCUCCACUCAACUCACUAUUUUUAUUUAUUUAUUUAACCUUUUAUUUAACUAGGCAAGUCAGUUAAGGACAAAUUCUUAUGGACAAUGACGGCCUACCAAAAGGCAAAAGGCCUCCUGCUGGGACGGGGGUCUGGGAUGAAAAAAAACAAAUUAAUAAAUACAAUAUAAAUAUAGGACAAAACACACAUGUUAAGUCAGUCUGUGUGAAUAGUAUGGUAACAACCUGUCUAUUAGUCUGAUCAUGUUAAUCAAUGAUAUAACUGUCUAAAAAAAUCUUAUGCUAAUUGCUGUAAAUUCCUUACAUUUAUCCCCCCCCCAAAAAAUGUAAUAAAGUUGCUACAUAUGUAAUUUUUCUGAAAAUGUCCAUAACAUAUCUGCAGUAAUAGUGGAAUGAUAGUGUUUCACAGUGUUACUUACCCACCAGUGUCUGAUUGGCUGUCCACCACCGGGUGGACUAAAACCGAAAGUAAAAGGCUCAGGCGAGAGUCUCCACCGUGUCACUGUGAAAAGGGGUUGUGGGGGAGGGGUGUAUUUGUUUUGACUGCAGCCUCCUGCUGUUGCAAUUCACCUUGCUUCCAAUUCUAAGAAAUUCUAGGUGAAGCACCUUUAAUGUGUACUUCUGUAAUGACAAUAUAAGUAAAUGACUUCAGCAACAAAAUAUAUAUAUAUAUAUAUAUAUAUAUAUAUAUAUAUAUAUAGAAUAAUAAUUAUAUUUAAUGUAACUGUACAAAAGGCAUGUUUUCAGAUAAUCUCUGUAUUUUGGUUUCUUACUUUAACAUUUCACUUUCUUGACAACAAAUAAGCCCUUUGGCUUAGACUAGAAUUAUCCCCAGUAACAUGAGUGGUUCCAUCUCGGAGGCCAGAGAACUUCUGCUUCUGGUUCUCUGUGUCCUUAAAUGAGUUCUGAAAGUUCUCUUGUGGUUUAAUUUGACACUUCAACACAUAACAGCUUGGGUUAAAAAUUGCAGUGUAGACAAGGCCACGAUAAGAUAAACGAUUAGCGAAACACCCAAACACCACAACAGCAUACAUUUCAACUUUCAACUUCAACUUUUUCCUCUUCAACUUUCCCACUUAUUUGUUAAUUCUAUUUCUUAUUCUUUUCUUAUUUUCUUAUUGUUCUUAAAGCUGCAUUGGUGGAUAAGGGCAAGUAAGCAUUUCACUGUAAGGUCUGUUGUAAUUUGGCUCACGUGGCAAAAUACAUUUAUUUGACAUGUAGCCCUUUCCUGUAGUCAAAUGACUUAGCGGCUUCAUGUUAUUCAUGUUUUUCAUAAUUAAUCAACAUCAUUUUUUUUUUAAAUCCGCCGAAUAUUCAGUGUUUCUAUGUCAAAAGGUUUUGUAAAAUUUCCGUGUAGUUGCAAACUGAAAAUUGGAUACAUUUCAACUCUAUUUAACCAGAUUUAAUCAGUUAAGAACAAAUUCUUAUUUUCAAUGACGGCCUGGGACAGCGGGUUAACUGCCUGUUCAGGGGCAGAACGACAGAUUUGUACCUUGUCAGCUCGGGGGUUUGAACUCGCAACCUUCCAGUUACUAGUCCAACGCUCUAACCACUAGGCUACCCUGCCGACGUGGUACAGGUGUCUUCUUUUUUUAAAGCCCAUAACCAUGUGUGUGAAGUGUAUACUUGUUUCUAUGUAGAUUUGUUUAAGACUACCCAGAAACAAUCUGUGUGACCCUGAUUUAGCCCACUGCAGUGCAUUGAAAUAGCCAUUGCGUUAUAGAAUGAGUCAUCUGCUCUGGCGGACAUAAUUUUCACAUUCUCAUAAGACACUUAAUAAAUGUCAUUUUCACUUGCCGUUUUAUUUUAGGCACCAAAAGCCACCCUUAAAUAAUAAUAAGUAUAACAAUAGAUCAGAGUCUUGAUAUAUCAUGCAAAGUUGCAAUAACAACCGUGUCCAUGUCUUUAUAUUACUGCUAGCAUGAACAGCUCCUUACACAUGAUCCUCUGUGGCUCAGUUGAUAGAGGAUGGCGCUAGCGACGUCUGCGUCGCGGGUUUCCAUUCCCGCUGGGGUCACCAAUGCAACAACGAAAAAGAAAAGAAAUGUAUGCACGCACUACUAUAAGUCACUUUGGAGAAAAGCUAGUGGUGCCCGCUAAAUGGAGUUGAAUCAUCUCUCUCUCUAUAGGCUGAGCCUGGACGCCAUAGACAGCGAUGGAGAGAGGGAUGACUCUCUCCUCCGCUCCUCCCACCUACAGGCGUUUAUAUACCCAGGAUGCCCUGAGCAGGAAGUGGAGGAGUCCGAUGGGACAGACCUCUCCAGAUCUGAAGCCAAGGAGACAGAAACGGUAUUGAUGCCACACCACGGCCAUACCUGGCGUGUUUUGAACAUUGCACUCAGCUUGGAGGGCAUAAACACAUGUUUAAAAAAAAUAUGAAGAUAACUAGUAUAGGAUGCACUAAGUACUGUGAUUUCACUCUUCUCUACAACAAAAAAACUCAACAAAAGAAACAAAGUAAUAAUAUGUUUUCAAUCAACCAACUUGGUAAAAUAAAGGUCAAUAACAUAUAAAUAAAUACAUUAUGUCUGACAUCCUUGUAGGAGGAGUACAGUCGGUCUGGAAGGACAUACUCCAGAACAGAGAUUCUGGCCACAGAUGAGCACAUUCACGUCGCACACGUGUCUCACGUAGUGGAGACAUCGAAGAGGGCAGCAGGAGGUCAGUGUGUAGAGUAAGCUGCCGUUGACCCCCCCCCCCACCCCUUCCUGUACCCCCAGAGGGCCACAGACCAACAUCCUGCUGUCAGAAUG